rnacentral:snRNA from 1 species
AUUGUUUCUUGGCCUUUUGGCUAAGAUCAAGUGUAAUAUCUGUUCUUUUCAGUUUUAAGACUGGUUGAGAGUCAGUUUUUUUUUGUUUUUUUUUUUUUUUUUGAGACAGGGUCUUGCUGUGUCACCAGGUUGGAGUGCAGCAGUGCCAUCUCGGCUUACUGUAA